GAAGGGACCUAGCGUAGUUCGGAAUUACUGGGCUUAAAGAGCACGUAGGUGGUUAAGAAAGUUGGUGGUGAAAUCCCAAGGCUUAACUUGGAACUGCCAUCAAAACUUUUUAACUAGAGUAUGAUUGAGGUAAGCGGAAUUUCUAGUGUAGAGGUGAAAUUCGUAGAUAUUAGAAAGAACACCAAUUGCGAAGGCAGCUUUCUGGAUCAUUACUGACACUGAGGUGCGAAAGCAUGGGUAGCGAAGAGGAUUAGAUACCCUCGUAGUCCAUGCUGUAAACGAUGUGUGCUAGACGUUGGAAAUUUAUUUUUCAGUGUCGCAGCAAAAGCGUUAAGCACACCGCCUGGGGAGUACGACCGCAAGGUUAAAACUCAAAUGAAUUGACGGGGACCCGCACAAGUAGUGGAGCAUGUGGUUUAAUUCGAAGAUACGCGCAGAACCUUACCAACACUUGACAUGUUCGUCGCGAACCUAAGAGAUUAGGUUCUUCAGUUUGGCUGGACGAAACACAGGUGCUGCAUGGCUGUCGUCAGCUCGUGUCGUGAGAUGUUGGGUUAAGUCCCGCAACGAGCGCAACCCUUACUUUUAGUUGCUACCAUUUAGUUGGGCACUCUAAAAGAACUGCCAGUGAUAAGCUGGAGGAAGGUGGGGAUGACGUCAAGUCCUCAUGGCCCUUACGUGUUGGGCUACACACGUGCUACAAUGGUAUUCACAGUGGGAUGCAAAGAGGCAACUCCUAGCAAACCCCAAAAAGAUACCUCAGUUCGGAUUGUACUCUGCAACUCGAGUACAUGAAGCUGGAAUUACUAGUAAUCGCGGAUCAGCGCGCCGCGGUGAAUACGUUCCCGGGUCUU
rnacentral:rRNA from 1 species